CGAGCAGGACAGGUGGUCGCCGGCGUCGCGAGACGCGGGAGGAAAGUCCGAGCUCCGCAGGGCAGGGUGCUGGCUAACGGCCAGUCGGGGUGACCCGAAGGAAAGUGCCACAGAAAGCAAACCGCCGUGGUCCGCCGCGGUAAGGGUGAAAGGGUGCGGUAAGAGCGCACCGGGGGGCUGGUGACAGUCCCCGGCAUGGUAAACCCCACCUGGAGCAAGACCAGUUCGAGGUACCCCGCGCCGACGGGGUCCGGGUGCCCGCCCGGUAGCCUCGGGUCAGGUCGCUCGGGGUCGUGGCAACGCGGCCCUUAGAUGAAUGACCACCCCCCUCGUCGGGUGACCGGCGGGGGAGACAGAACUCGGCUUACGGCCUGGUCGGAGA
rnacentral:RNase_P_RNA from 1 species